rnacentral:rRNA from 1 species
CCUACGGGGUGCAGCAGUAGGGAAUUUUGCGCAAUGGGGGAAACCCUGACGCAGCAACGCCGCGUGAUCGAUGAAGCCCUUCGGGGUGUAAAGAUCUGUCAGUGGGGACGAAACCUGACGGUACCCACAGAGGAAGCACCGGCUAACUCCGUGCCAGCAGCCGCGGUAAUACGGAGGAUGCGAGCGUUAUCCGGAUUUAUUGGGUUUAAAGGGUGCGUAGGCGGACUGUUAAGUCAGCGGUAAAAGCCCGGGGCUCAACCCCGGCGAGCCGUUGAAACUGGCUGUCUUGAGAUGUCGAGAGGUAUGCGGAAUGCGCAGUGUAGAGGUGAAAUGCUUAGAUAUUGCGCAGAACUCCGAUUGCGAAGGCAGCAUACCGGCGGCGAUCUGACGCUGAGGCACGAAAGCGUGGGUAUCGAACAGGAUUAGAUACCCCAGUAGUC